rnacentral:misc_RNA from 1 species
UUUCCGUAGGUGAACCUGCGGAAGGAUCAUUAUUGUAUUACCGAGGUGCGAGGGCUGUCGCUGACCCGUAGGGUCGUGCACGCUCGAUUGCUCUCACACACACCUAUCUCACCCCUAUGUGCACCACGGCGCGGGUCCCCCUCUGGCAUGUCCGGAGGGGGGCUUACGUUUUCACACAAUCUUUGUAUGUUGUGUAUUUUGUAUUUUUUGUUUUUGCGUUCGGCCUCUCUAAACAACUUUCCACAACGGAUCUGUUGGCUCCCGCACCGCAGUAGAACG